rnacentral:rRNA from 1 species
ACAGAGUUCUGCUAGUGGCAGACGGGUGAGUAGUACAUGGGAAUCUACCUUGCAGUGCGAAAUAACAGUUGGAAGCAAUUGCUAAUGUCGCAUAUAGCCGAGAGGUGAAAGAUUUAUCGNUGNAAGACGAGCCCAUGCAGGAUUAGCUAGUUGGUGAGGUAAUGGCUCACCAAGGCAACGAUCUUUAGUUGGUCUGAKAGGAUGAUCAGCCACACUGGAACUGAGACACGGUCCAGACUCCUACGGGAGGCAGNAGUGGGGAAUAUUGGACAAUGGGCGCAAGCCUGAUCCAGCKACGCCGCGUGAGUGAAGAAGGCCUUCGGGUUGUAAAGCUCUUUUAGUGGGGAAGAUAAUGACGGUACCCACAGAAAAAGCCCCGGCUAACUUCGUGC